UACGUAAGGGGCGAGCGUUGUUCGGAAUUAUUGGGUGUAAAGGGUGCGUAGGCGGUUUGACAAGUCUGGUGUUGAAGGCAACGGCUUAACCGUUGUUUGGCGCUGGAAACUGUAAGACUUGAGUUUAGGAGGGGGAGCUGGAAUUCCAGGUGUAGGGGUGAAAUCUGUAGAUAUCUGGAAGAACACCGGUGGCGAAGGCGAGCUCCUGGCCAUAGACUGACGCUGAGGCACGAAAGCGUGGGGAGCGAACAGG
rnacentral:rRNA from 1 species